UGUCCCUUAGCUCAGUUGGUAGAGCGAGCGACUGUUAAUCGCUUGGUCCCUGGUUCGAGUCCAGGAGGGACAG
rnacentral:tRNA from 1 species